rnacentral:tRNA from 1 species
GAUACCGUGGCCGCUGGAACGGCAUAGGUUUGCAAAACUGAAGUUGUGGGUUCGAGUCCCACCGGUAUCG